rnacentral:piRNA from 2 species
UGGUUCAAGACUGCCUGUGUGGCACAUGU